AAUGUGAGCUCCCUCUAUCUAAGUUUGGCCUUCUUCCCUGGUUUAUUGAAUUAUUGUGGUAUGUUUCCUGUCGAGGAUUAAGUUCUUUAUCAAAUUUUGAAUGGAUGAAUUCUCAUGUACUUAACAACACAAAUAAUAGAAUCUUUUGUUUUGUGAUUUACGAUCCAUUUGCCUUGUCAAUUUCUUUUCCCUAUUUUUUGUGAUUGCUGUCGAGUUCAGAUAUCGGGAAAGUUCAUUUAGUCGUUACUUCUCUGAUAUUGAUCAGAUGUUCGCAUCAAUUACUCUUUAUUGAUCAGAGUCUGGUCUGAGUAAUUAUAUGAUUGUUUCUUUCCAGUAGUUUGGGUGUAAUUCAUUACCCACCCUGUGUAUUCACCUGGUUCAUUAUCUCAUUUAUCUCUUUUGGCAAUAUGAUUGUUUCUUUCCAGUUGUUUGGGUGUAAUUCAUUCCCCACCCCGUGUAUUCACCUGGCUUAUUAUCUCAUUUAUCUCUUUUGGCAUUAUGAUGCUUGAUGUGCUCCUUUAAACUUUAUUCUUAUUUAUAGAAACCUAAGAGAUUCUAAUAUUCUGAGCUCUCUCUGACAUCUCCGUCCAUUUGGAGAGAUUUUCUUCUGUGCUGGUGGUUGGUUUUUGUAAGUGCAGGAUC
rnacentral:lncRNA from 1 species